GUGACAGAAGAGUGUGAGCACCUAUGGUCCUCAUGCAAAUGGUUCAUUUUUAUGCAUGAAGCUAUGUGUGCUCACUCUCUAUCUGUCAU
rnacentral:pre_miRNA from 1 species